AGUGCACUCCCUGCUCCCACCCCGCAGCUCACCUGCUCCGCCCUCCUCCCCGGGACGCCCAGCCCCGCAGCCCUCAUCCCUCUCUUCCUCCCAGCCAGGUCCUGACUGCAGCCUCUGUCCACCACCUCCCUGAGGAGCCCUUUAAAAGGACCAGCGCCUGCGGAGGGGAGACCCUGAGAACUUAAGCCUCAGUGUUGCACAAGUUUAAAAAGGGAAGUGCUUGACUUUGGAUUGAGAGUUGACUCUUCACUGUGCGAAGUCCUGAAUUAUUUCACAGGGAUAGUUGGAAAAAAGCAAAGCUUCCUAAGGCUGGCAUUCACUUCUUGAGUCUAGAGGCACAUUAUCUUGUCUGGCCCCGUGGACAGCUCUUUUUCUGCAGGGUGGAGCAGGGGGUGGUUCAAACACCACAGAAGCAAAACAGCCACAAGAAAACAAAUGCUUGAAGUGAUUUCUGCUCCCACCCCACUGUCUCAGUCUGGAGAUCCAAACUCACCUGGGUAGCAGGAAAGCUCCUUUUCUGCCCAGCUCCCAGGUUCUUGCUUCAGCUGCAGGUCUGACAUUUGCCUCUGCAGGCACCGGCUUCACUGCUGUCACUCAGACACAGCUGUAAGCUACUGGUCGAUGAUGCUCGUUAAAAAGCUAUGAUAUAUACCUAUUGCAUCACUUGCCAGCACAAUCCCUGAGUGACCACUGAGUCCAGAGGGGCAUUUAUCCCAUGACAGUGCAUCAUCAGAGGUGCCCUGCCAUCAUCCCUGCAUGUAGGACACACAGGGCUCACGCAGCCCCAGAACUCCCAGGGCCUUGUGCUCAUCUCCGUUACACAUGCCCAAACAUCCGUCUGGGUCGCAGCCUCAAGGAUCAGUUGAGAUUCAAGGCAGCAACAUGCCUCAGUACGACAAACUCAGACCUACUAGGGUUCCAUGAAGCUUCGUCCUCUUUCUCUAGGGAGGAACACCAAGGCUGAGUAACUCCAGCUGCGGACAGGACAUUGAGAGGGCUGCCUCUUUCUACUGCUUGUAGUGAAGAGCCCAGCAAAGAACUUAGCAACACGAUCGGCUUCAGACACGUGGAUAUUCAGCGAUCCUGGAACACAUCUCGGGUGUCCCUUCUCACCUCUGGUGAUGGUUUUGCCUCCCAAAGUAUCCUCUCCUUCUCCUUGGCUCUAAUCCUACCCAACUUCCCAGAACCAGUGUACACCCUGCCCCGGAAUGCCUUUCUGAUCACCUCAUCUUGUAGAGUUCCCUCCUUCUUCUGCAUGUAUUUGUCUCAUAAUCAUUCCUGUGUCUUUUACUGUCCCUUGAUGUAUUGUUUAGAUUCAUAACAUUAUGAUUAUGUAACUUCCCUCCUGUUGCAUGGUUGCUUUUUUGCAGGGACUGUGCCCACAUUGGUGUUCUCCAUAGAAUGCUUCUCAGAUGUAGUGUGUAGUACAAAUGCCCAAGAUCUUGUUAAAAUGCAGUCUGACUCAGUGGUCUGCCUGGGAGCAGGCCCUGAGAUCCUGCAUUUCUAAUAAACUGUCAGGUAAUGUCAAAGCUGGUCUGUCUGGGGACCACACUUUGAGUACCAAGGGACUAUCAUAUCUAGGGCAAUGUCACGUGUGUGGUAGAUUUUCAACAAAUAGCUAUUCAUCAUGGGCUCUUUUACCUAUUCUCCACCAUGGCCUGCGGAGCUGAGUCCUCAGUCCCCUUUGAGGAACAAAUACAUAGAGGCCCUGGAAACGGUGUGCUGGCCUUUUGGUCAUCCCAGAGCCAGGAUGGGCUCCACGCUCCUCCCACCUGCUCUGGCCUGCAGCAGCAUUCACACGUUCCUUCUAUGAGAAAAGCGACAUGCAUCAGGCACUAUGGGAUGGCGCUGACAAAAAAGACAAAAUGUCAGGUCUCAUAGUCUCGAAAAUUUCCUGCCCAUUAAAUAAGCAUUCCUCGGGUUGUUUUCUCCAUCACUGCUAAAUAUUGAAGUCAUAGGUCUCAGAGUGUGUAGGCUCAAAAUAUGCUUCAUUCCAGAAGCCACUGUUUUGUUGACUUUACAAACCACAUAAAAUAGUUUCAAUACUGAAAACAUCAAGCUUACACAGAUAAAUGAUAUUUUGCUAUGGGACUGAGUAUUUUUAAUAAGAUCCUAUUUCCUGGGGAAAGAAGAAAAAUCAGCAAUGUAAGCAAUAGCAGCAAGGAAGACCAUUAUGGUUCCUAAGUGAUCCAACUACUGAUGAUAAAUGACAUAGCAACAUGUGCAUUUAGCUUUUUUUUUUUUUUUUAAACUAUGUUCCAUGCUAGUAAAGAAUAAACUAGCAAAGAACAAUAUCCUUAAAACAGCUAGACAUAUUUUCAAUACAUCUAACACGUAGCCUUCAAAGUAACCAAUGUGAAUUUGAACUGAAUGCUCCUUUUUUGUUGUAGCUGAUGUGUCUCUUAAGAUCUCAAUGAGUAUAGGUUAAUAGAUAAAUAGAAUAAAUUGUAAACUGCUUUGCUGGUGUCUAGCACAUAGCAGGUAUUUGACAAAGGAAUGUUGUUCAACAAAAAAUGAAUGAAUGGAGAGAGGAAGACAGGGGUAGGCACCCUUAUAGCUUUGUGAAUGGGUCCACAGUGUGGUAUUUCAUACUUGAACCAGAAGUCGUAUGAAAAUGAGACACGAACAUUUACAGGGUCAUAGUCCUAUUAUUAAAUAAUGGGUGCCACACUGUACAGCUUGUCCUUAACUGACUAAAGAUAAACUCUGCAUAUAGGCAUUGAUGACACAUGGAUAUAGAGCUACCAAUGACUCAGUUGACCAGGCCAGUGACAUAGUAUUGUUUAAUGAAAAAAUAUCUACCCUAUUACGUAUUUAUGCAUAUACACUCACUGAAGGUCUAUAUUAUGUCAAGUCCUGAGUACCUUAGGUUUCCACAUAAGAAUUCAUUUGCUUUAAAAAAUUGGAAUGCAUCACUCUGAAAUAUUUACAUCUGUAAAAAACAACCAUAUGCAUUUUCUUAAAUGGUUUCUUUCAAAAUCCAGAAGAAAUCAGAAAAAAACUUAUAAAGAUGAUUAUAUAAAAGAAAGAACUUUUGGCUGGGCACG